CGCGGCUGAUGUCGGCGCCGCCGGGGCCGGGUCGCUCCCGCAGGCAUCGCUCGCCGCGGCCGCCCUUGUUCUCUCCCUGGGGGCGGAAGACCCAGCCCCGGCUUCCCGGCACCUCUGCGCCGUCACCAUCGAAUAAAGGAGCACAAGCAUCAGGCAGAUCUGGCCAAGCUAGAAGACAAAAGAGAAGGAGAACAAAUACAGAGAUUGAACCGAUUAUACCAACUGGAAAUUCAGAGAAGAAUGGAAAAGGAACAGGAGGAAAAAGCUGAACGCCAAAGGCUGUAUCAUCUCGUGUUCUCCUGCAGGCUAAUGUGGGAGCAUAAGCUUUUUAACAACUACCUGCACGGAUGAAUGAGGCGUGUAAGACUGAAGAUGAUCAUCUUGCUAGAGGAGCUGCAGAGAUAGAAGAUGAAUACCAAAUAAAAAACAAAGAGAAAGAGGCAAACAAACAAACAAACAAAAAAAGGCUGCCACUGAAUCUGUUGCUGAGCACAGAGCCACUGUGAUGAAGAUGAAAGUGGAAAAGGAGAGAGAGGAAAAAGCAGAGGGUAAAAAAGAACUUCAUGCGCUAAUGGAACAGAACCGCAUCUACCUGGAAAUGGAAAAAGCCAAGAAACAACGACAACGUGACACAAACAUGGAAAUACAGAAAAUUCAGAUCCAGCAAAUGGCUGAAAAGCAGGAAAAAAACAGCAGGAAAAGCAAGCAGAUUUGGACUAUGAUGCUCAGAGAGAAGCUGCUUUUUCUUUUUUCAGCAAGCAGAAAGAAACUUUUAAUGAAGCCUUUUGACUGCAGAAGCUGGAGCCCUGGGAAGUACUGACUACAGAAGUGGUGCUGAAAUCUGCAGAGCUUGAUAACGCUCCAGAUGCGCCCCUAAGUGCAUGUUUGCACAUGCUCACUACCAUGCAACUGAAAUACAUCUGACAACUACAGAAUAGCUACUAAGGAAUAAAAAGCUAGCCAAUGUCUCCUUACAAGUUAUAUUUGCCUGCAAAACCUGUCAGUGCCCAACAGAUGAAGCUAACUCUGGAGGAAGUUACAAGGCAUGCUAUUUGCCAGAACCUACCUAUACGCAACCUCAGCUCAAGAAACAAGUGCCACAGUUUGCAACUGUACCUGUAACUACUCUAAUUUUAUUAUGGAACAAAGCAGUAGAUUCACUUUCUAAGAAGUGAAGAGGUUACAAGCAAAGGUACACUAUCAAUCUGUACUGUACUCCUCAAGUAUUGCUGGGCCUCCCAGGCUCAAUUCAAACCGUAUGUUUUGGCUUAAAAAUAUUUAUUAAGCAAAUAAUAAAACUGAGUAAGCUGUUUAAAAACAUCUGCCUGCAACAGUAAGAUCAAUAUUGAGUGUACCUUUUAUUUGUGGCAGUUUUCUACUUCCUUUUACUUUGGAGAAUGCAAUGGAAGAUAGGAAUACUAUCUUGGGAAAGUUGUGGCACUGGCCAAGUCUUUAAUCCAUUAUGGGAAAGAAGUGCCUGCAGCAAGACUCUCUAUCUAGUACUCAUCUCCAGACUGACUGUAGGGAAUGGAAAAGCACUUUCUUGCGUUCUCCUACUCACUCUGCUGCCAGUACAGCCAGGCUGGGAUACUGGUGUAGGUGACUUUUUGAUCAAAACUUGUUCUUUCACUCUGUUCUAGACUGUAAGCCGUCCUACCGCUACAUUUAAAUUCAUGUCAUCAAACAGGUAGCUCUUCUGUAACGAGAAAAAACUAUUCUGCUUCACCUAACACAAAAAAAGCCCCGUUAUAUUUGUGCAAGUAGAAGAUCAAAGUUUGCAACUAGCAAAACAAAAAAAUCAGUGAUAAGAUACUAGAUUGGCUUCAUUACAUGGCUGCAUUUUUAUCUAUGUUAUAACAUAUAGAUAGUGAAUAGACUGUCAUUUGUCAUUCUACAGUAGAAACUCUUAAUUCCAUCUAUAAUGCAAGACUGUCAUCCACGGAAUAAAAAUCUGACUGUGCACAUUGAGUGAAAAUGCGUAGAUUUUGGUUUAACUGAAGAGGUAGUACUGGACAUCAA